UGGAUCCUGGCUCAUAUUGAACGCUGGCGGCGUGCCUAACACAUGCAAGUCGAGCGGUAACAGGUGUAGCAAUACAUGCUGACGAGCGGCGGACGGGUGAGCAAUGUUUGGGAAUCUGCCUAUUAGUGGGGGACAACCCGGGGAAACUCGGGCUAAUACCGCAUACGCACCAUGGUGGAAAGCCGGGGACCGCAAGGCCUGGCGCUAAUAGAUGAGCCCAAAUCGGAUUAGCUAGUUGGUGGGGUAACGGCCCACCAAGGCGACGAUCCGUAGCUGGUCUGAGAGGACGACCAGCCACACCGGAACUGAGACACGGUCCGGACUCCUACGGGAGGCAGCAGUGGGGAAUAUUGGACAAUGGGCGAGAGCCUGAUCCAGCGACGCCGCGUGGGUGAAGAAGGCCUGCGGGUUGUAAAGCCCUUUCGGUGGGGAAGAAAAGCCUCGUCUUAAUACGGCGGGGUCUUGACGUAACCCAUAGAAGAAGCACCGGCUAACUCUGUGCCAGCAGCCGCGGUAAUACAGAGGGUGCGAGCGUUAAUCGGAAUUACUGGGCGUAAAGCGCGCGUAGGCGGCUUUGCAAGUCGGGUGUGAAAUCCCCAGGCUUAACCUGGGAACUGCAUUCGAGACUGCAUUGCUAGAGUAUGGGAGAGGGAAGUGGAAUUUCCGGUGUAGCGGUGAAAUGCGUAGAUAUCGGAAGGAACAUCAGUGGCGAAAGCGACUUCCUGGACCAAUACUGACGCUCAUGUGCGAAAGCGUGGGGAGCAAACAGGAUUAGAUACCCUGGUAGUCCACGCCAUAAACGAUGACAACUGGAUGUCGGGAGGGUCUGCCUCUCGGUGUCGUAGCUAACGCGUUAAGUUGUCCGCCUGGGGAGCCCGGCUGCAAAC
rnacentral:rRNA from 1 species